rnacentral:lncRNA from 1 species
UUAGUUUCAGGCUUUUACAACAAUUCAAAGUAAAGGGAAUUUCAUUUCGUGAGUGAUUAGUAUAGCUAGUUUCAUGUAAACUUAUUUUUAAAAAUGAGGAUUUUUUGAAGAAUAUAUUGAAUAACAAGCAUGGAUACUAAUAUGUUUGAUAUACACUAUCGAUUUUAGAUCAAUUUCUUAUUGCACGUUAUCUGAGUUAUACCAAUCCUAAAUAUAGAGUAGCUUUAACUUACAUUAAUCAUCCAAACUUUUGAUUUGUUCAUCAAUGUGUUAUAUUUUUGGUUAAAUUGUCUUCAAAUAGUUAUUUUUAUCUUCUUGU